UACAGAGGAUGCAAGCGUUAUCCGGAAUGAUUGGGCGUAAAGCGCAUGUAGGCGGUUUAGUAAGUCUGAUGUGAAAUCCCUGGACUCAAUUCAGGAACUGCAUUGGAUACUGCAAAACUAGAGUAUGAGAGAGGUAGGCGGAAUUCUUGGUGUAGAGGUGAAAUUCGUAGAUAUCAAGAGGAACAACAGAAGCGAAGGCGGCUUACUGGAUCAUAACUGACGCUGAGAUGCGACAGUGUGGGGAGCAAACAGG
rnacentral:rRNA from 1 species